CGUCGAAUCCAUUCUACCCGACCCCGAAUUCUUUCUCCUCGAAAUAUUGCUGCUGCGUCCAACCCUAAACUCCUUCUCCACCGAAUGUCUCUGCCCAACCCCUCUCCGGCGAACUCCUCUCCACGGAAUGCUUGUCCGACGAAGCCCUCUCUGUCAAAUCCUUCUCUGUCGAAGCGCUCUCUGCCGAAUCUCAGGAUUUCAUUGACAAGGCACACAAGAAGACCAAAGCCCAGAGUUCCCUCGUAUCCUCGACAUUGGUAUCCAGGCUCGGCCCCGACUCGGAGUCGUACGCCAUUGAGCCCGCAUCCGACGAAUCUCAUGAGCCUAACGCCGCCGCAUGCGAAUCUCUAGUCCGAGGAUGCCACUUCACCUCCCCCACCGCCGUAGACGGGUCUUCUGAAUUCCAACGAUCGCUGCAGAUAGGACUCCCCUUUUCGUGCGAAAGCUAGAGGGAAAAGGUCAUUCAAGAUCAUGUUUUGGGAUAAAAUCGAGAAAACUACAGGUGAGGGAGACACGUUGCUUGUCCAACUGAUUCUUUGCUUUGCGUUGGACAGUUUGGGUCAGAAUCUCCAAAUGUUUAAUUAGGGUUUCCAAGGGAGCAACUCGAAGAACUUCGAUCAUCUAGCACCUUUAGAAGAGUCUGAUUACUUGAAAAUAAUAAAGGGAUUAGUUAAUGGAAAGAAAGCAUAUUUUGAUGGAUUUCUUUCGAAACUGAGUUUUGCAAGGGUUGGAGGCGUAUCUACUACUUUGGCGGAGGAUGCACCAUCGGUCAAAGAAAACAGUGAGAAUCAUGACCUUGGGGAUGAUAAGGAGGGGCCUACAACUAGCACUCUUUCGUUACACUGACCAUCCUGACAAGAAGAAAUUGUUUUCAGUGCAAGACUUCUUCAGUUACACUGAGACAGAAGCGAAGGAACUUAUUUACAGAGAGAGGCUGCUUGUUGGGAAAUGUCCAUUAACUCCGGAAGAGGUAGUUAAGGCAGGCGAGGGAGGUGAACUUCCAGGCCACUAAGUUAUUGGUGAUAUUGCUGUCAUAAGAAAUUUCACUGCUGGUGUUGGUCUUAUUAGUCCUCCACCACACCAUGAUAUAUACUGGAUUGAAGAUCUUGUGCAGCUUAUUUUUGACCUUAAGAACUCAAAUCCUGGUGCCAGAAUCAGUGUUAAGCUAGUCUUUGAGGCUGGCGUUGGUGUAGUUGCCAGUGGUGUUGUAAAAGGGCAUGCCAACCAUGGUUUGAUAUCAUUCAGAAGCAAGAUCAUGGACUGAAGUUUAUCUCUUCAUCAAAGGCUGCUCUUGAAAAAGAGCCAUUGAACUCCAAGAUGGAAGGUUCCACAAUCGUAUCAACGCCCGGGGGAGACUGCACUACUGCUCGAUAGACAGAAUUCGUAUCGCCCACAUUGGUGACAGUCCUAUUUACUGUCACGGAAGUUUUGAGAUCGGAAAUGGAGACCGACGGUAGAUUCAAGUGGUACAGACGACUAUCCACUAGGCCACAACUCGAUACAUCAUUAGUGCAGUUGAAGAACUUGAAGUAAUCAUUUGGAUCAACAUCGUAAACUAGUCCAGGAUCGACAGCUUUGUUGGGAUCAACAUGACCGCCACCGUAGUCGAAAGGAUCAGCAAGUUUUCGAGGAAUUCCGUCAGCUUCAAUGGGAAAGCCAUAUGCAUCCGUAGUUUGUUACAAGAGCAGACUUAAUGGCAGCAGGUGACCAUUUUGGAUGGAUGUUUUUGAGAAGAGCAACAAUUCCAGAAACAUGAGGACAAGACAUGGAAGUUCCAGAAUCGAAAGCGUAGCUGUCAAACAUAGCAGCUAAG